AUGUUGCAAGUCACUUUUGCCAAGUAUAUUUUACUAUGCAAGUCACUUUUUGGGUAUAAAGAAGCUUGGAUUGUUGUAGUUGAUGAGUGGUGCAGUGAAGAGUGGAUUGCAAAAUCCAAGAAAUACCGUGCCAAUCGUUUCAGCUCAAAGUUCAAGCCUCACAAAGGUGGUUCCAACUCCAUGACUACUAUAAGUCAAAAAAUGGCCGAGGAAACCGGGAAGAAGUUAACCAGAUUCAGGCUUGGGUGCAUACACACAGAGGAGUGGACAAGAGCACACCUUUAA
rnacentral:rRNA from 1 species